rnacentral:rRNA from 1 species
GACGAACGCUGGCGGCGUGCUUAACACAUGCCAGUCGAACGGAAAGGCCCUGCUUUUGUGGGGUGCUCGAGUGGCGAACGGGUGAGUAACACGUGAGUAACCUGCCCUUGACUUUGGGAUAACUUCAGGAAACUGGGGCUAAUACCGGAUAGGAGCUCCUGCUGCAUGUGGGGGGUUGGAAAGUUUCGGCGGUUCGGGAUGGACUCGCGGCUUAUCAGCUUGUUGGGGGGGUAGUGGCUUACCAAGGCUUUGACGGGUAGCCGGCCUGAGAGGGUGACCGGCCACAUUGGGACUGAGAGACGGCCCAGACGCCUACGGGAGGCAACAGUGGGGAAUAUUGCGCAAUGGGCGGAAGCCUGAUGCAGCAACGCCGCGUGCGGGAUGACGGCCUUCGGGUUGUAAACCGCUUUCGCCUGUGACGAAGCGUGAGUGACGGUAAUGGGUAAAGAAGCACCGGCUAACUACGUG